AAUUGAAGGAAAAUUGCUUUACAGUGUUAUUGGUUUCUGCCUUGCAGCACAGCAAAUCAGUCAUCAUUAUACACAUCAUCUAUUUUAAAUGCAGCAGCCUGUAUACUUCAAACCCAAACUCCUAUUCGGGAUUCUCUGGUUUUAUGAUACACUAGGAACCUUUCUCCCAACAUUAUCUUCACUUCUCUGCAGCAAUUUGACAUUAUAAUCUUCUGCUUUCCCCUCUUAAAAGAGAUUUCAUGUGUGAUGCUUUCCUUCUAUGCUAACGGUUACCAAACCCAGUAUUCCAAGUUCCAGAUCUGAAUUUGAGAAUACCUGCCAUGAUGAAGCCCGAUCCUUGAGAACAAAGUAAAAAAAGUCACGCCCAGUAUCAGCACAGAGUGCACAGCCAAUCAAUGUUAGUAUGUGUUCUCAGGAUAUUGAAUAGGCGCGUAUUAGUUCCACUUUAUGCUGGGAUGCAGCUGGGGGAGGUGGGGACUCAGAAGUAGGGUUGCUCUUUGGCCAGCAGAAAAUCUCCAUUUUAUGUUAUGCCUGCCCUGUAGGCUUUGCCUCACUUGCAUCAACUGGCAGAACAUGGAAGUGAAAAUCUGUUUCUGGCCACUCUGCCCCCACUCAGGCACCCCUACUUCCUUCCUCUUUACUAUAACAUUAAGUGCUCUUCUUCCCUAGACAGGAGCCACAGCUUGCCAUCCGUCUUGCAUGUUUCAUCAGAAACUAACUUCCAGCCAUGCUCCUAGCUACCUCCCUGAUGCAUGUCACAUCAUUUUUUUCUUUUCAGAUAACUCGGAUGCUUGUGAAGGAACACUUGCAUAACUCAAACUCCUCUACUUAGACACAAGGUUUAUGAAGACUUCAUCCGAAGAGAGCAGAACCUUGCAACCUGGCUUUGUCAGUUCCUCUUAGAGGUUUCAGUUCUUUUCCUCUGUAGACACCAGCUAAUAACAAUCGCCAUUUGUUGAACA